UAACUUUUUUUCCACUUUUCUGGGAAAGUGAAAGUACUUAAUGACAAACGAAAAAUCUUUAGUAAUACAGGAGACAGAGCAAAACGACAUUUAUGUACAAAAUAAGGUGAAAUUUCGUCAGGGCCACUACUAAGUUUUAGAUUUAAUUUUUCUAACUUAUUAAAAAUAUCUAUUAGACUAAUAUCACAGCUGCUUAAACUAAUUGUUUUAUUAUAAUCAAAGCUUGGAAUAUCACAGUUAUUGUUAUCUACAUAUGGCUUAGAAAAAUGCUGUUUAAAAAAAUUUGAAAUUUCUGAUGAAUUGUUUGAUUCAUUGUUGUCAUAGGUCAUGUUGUUUUGACACCACCCGAGGAAGUCUACUAACUACUGCUGAAAUCAGAAAACACGAUAUUUUUGCAAAAUGUGUAUAAAAUGGUUUUGUUUGGAACAUAUUCAUCCACUUUGUGAAAAUUGCAAAGCUGGAGGAACUGAAGAUUAGUAUUUUCCUUGUUUCAUUUAUAGAGUUUUCAUUUUUUUAGGUUUUAUGUUUAUAACUCUAAUAUUGUUAAGGUGUGAUUCCGACAACGACUGCAGACGCCAGAUGGCACUACUUUGCACUAUUAAUUUGUAUGACACUGAUUCCGACAUUUGACUGCAACUGCUGUCCGACAGAACAUAAGUUGCUAAUAAUUAUACAAAUUAAUAGUGCAAAGUCUGUCAUAGCAACAACUGCAACUGCCAUCUGCACUUGCUGUCUGCCAUCUGGAGUGGAUGUUGGAAUCGCACCAAAGUGUUAAUAUUGAGUUGAAAUAUUUUGUUUUGUGUAUUUACAGUUUAAUAAAGAGAUUUGCAACGAA
rnacentral:lncRNA from 1 species